UACGAAGGUCCCGAGCGUUAUCCGGAUUUAUUGGGUUUAAAGGGUGCGUAGGCGGCUUAUUAAGUCAGGGGUGAAAGACGGUGGCUCAACCAUCGCAGUGCCCUUGAUACUGAUGAGCUGAAUACACUUGAGGUAGGCGGAAUGUGACAAGUAGCGGUGAAAUGCAUAGAUAUGUCACAGAACACCAAUUGCGAAGGCAGCUUACUAAGGUGCAAUUGACGCUGAGGCACGAAAGCGUGGGGAUCAAACAGG
rnacentral:rRNA from 1 species